AUUGAACGCUGGCGGCAUGCCUUACACAUGCAAGUCGAACGGUAACGGGCCUUCGGGUGCCGACGAGUGGCGAACGGGUGAGUAAUGUAUCGGAACGUACCUUUCAGUGGGGGAUAACGUAGCGAAAGUUACGCUAAUACCGCAUAUUCUGUGCGCAGGAAAGCAGGGGAUCGCAAGACCUUGCGCUGAUUGAGCGGCCGAUAUCAGAUUAGCUAGUUGGUGAGGUAAAGGCUCACCAAGGCGACGAUCUGUAGCGGGUCUGAGAGGAUGAUCCGCCACACUGGAACUGAGACACGGUCCAGACUCCUACGGGAGGCAGCAGUGGGGAAUUUUGGACAAUGGGGGCAACCCUGAUCCAGCCAUGCCGCGUGAGUGAAGAAGGCCUUCGGUGUAAAGCUCUUUCGCCGGGAGAAAUCGUAUCAGCUAAUACCUGGUGCGGAUGACGGUACCGGCAUAAGAAAGCACCGGCUAACUACGUGCCAGCAGCCGAC
rnacentral:rRNA from 1 species